GGAAAGUUUCUGGCAGAUUCAUUUUUAUUUAUAUAUAGCUUGUGAUUUGUAAGAGAAAUAGGUAACAAAUAUAAUCAGUUGAGUUUUAUAUAAAACAGAUAAGUAUGUAAAUGCAGAAACAUCAAAUCGUCACGACGUUAGGCUGCUCGGUGGACAUGAAGUUGGCGAAGGGAACGGACGUCAGGUUGGAGGGCUGCUCGCCGGACGUCAGGUUGGCAAAGGGAACGGACGUCAGGUUGGAGGGCUGAUCGCCGGACGUCAGGUUGACGAAGGGAACAGACGUCAGGUUGGAGGGCUGAUCGCCAGACGUCAGGUUGACGAAGGGAACAGACGUCAGGUUGGAGGGCUGAUCGCCAGACGUCAGGUUGACGAAGGGAACAGACGUCAGGUUGGAGGGCUGAUCGCCGGACGUCAGGUUGGAGGGCUGAUCGCCGGACGUCAGGUUGACGAAGGGAACAGA